UACGUAGGGCGCAAGCGUUGUCCGGAAUUAUUGGGCGUAAAGAGCUCGUAGGUGGCUUGUCGCGUCUGCCGUGAAAGCCCGUGGCUUAACUACGGGUCUGCGGUGGAUACGGGCAGGCUAGAGGCUGGUAGGGGCAAGCGGAAUUCCUGGUGUAGCGGUGAAAUGCGCAGAUAUCAGGAGGAACACCAGUGGCGAAGGCGGCUCACUGGCCCGGUACUGACGCUGAGGAGCGAAAGCCAGGGGAGCAAACGGG
rnacentral:rRNA from 1 species